GCUCUAUUUAAAGCAUCAGAAAGCCCAGCCAUGCAGCAGCAGGCUCAAAUAUUAAAUCAGUUCUAUUUAGACACACAAGAGAGGAAUGGCAAAAACAGAGGCAAUACCAUACACCAAUUAUAUUGUCCCCAUCCUUCUACUGAUUGGCUGGAUUGUGGGUUGUGUACUCAUGGUUUACUUUGUCUUCUCUUAAAAGAGGGAAAGAAGCCUUUGCAAAGGAGCUUGUAAACUUGAUGAAGAUGUCCAUCUCUCAUUUUAAAAAUAUGCAGUGGAAACAAUACUUCCAUAUUAAUAAAAUAAAGUCUUGAGACA
rnacentral:lncRNA from 1 species